UUAGCAGCCGUCUGAACAGAACGUACGUCGUGUGUUUUUGCGGUAUUUUUUUAUAUAGCGGUGUUUUUUAACAAAUCUUUUCAUUAAAACUUACAAAAAAAAAAAUCAAAUUUAAAUUUACUGUUUAAAAUCCAAAAAAAGAAUAUA